CACAAUCAAGUAACUGUCUUGCCUUCAGUUGUUAUAAAAAUGCUUUAUGCAUCAAAAACAUCUUCAAAUAAUUGACUUAGAAUACACCUGAACACACAAACAGAAUGCUUCAAAAUGUUCACAGCUAAAUUUGACAGGAAAAUUGUGGGGUCUCCUCAGGAGAUGCUGUCAAGAUCUGGAGGAUUUGUAGAAAUUUCACAUUAGAGAGCGAUCAGAUAUUGAUCACUCUACCGGCGAAGAUCUGUGACGUUUAUAAAUUCCUACGAAAGAAAAGAGCAUGCUGAAACUGAAACAGCAAGUCCUUCAACAAAGAAUUAGCUUAGGGAGUUCGUAAUUGAGUAACUGUGACUUUAUUUUUCCUACCCUCAUUUCCUCUGCAUGUUUGACCACAAUAAUGAACACAUAUGUUCAUUAAUAUUAACCUUAAAGCAAAGUUUCUGUCAAUGGAGCAGCCCCAUAAUCUAAUUCGCAAGGGUAAGCGCAUGAAGAAAAGCAGUGUUCACAUACAGUUGGACAAUCAUCUUAACAAUGGGCGACUGCAGAUAAGGAGAGAUUUAAAAAAAAUGUAGCUUACCAGCACAGUCCAUUGGUGUCUGAAUGAUUUUACAAUUUGCAUUACAUCAAGGAUUUCUGUGCACACCAGCCAAUAUUCACCCUCCCGAGGUUUGCAUGAAUCUAUCACAUCGUAUCAGAAGUCCAUCUCGAACAGCCCCUAAGGCUAAAGCUGGGUAAUUGCUAAUAACUAAUGUUCCUUCAAACAUUUAACAUCUGAAUAAAAAUUUGACGUCUCAUGUACAUGCUAUGAUAUCAUUUUAAUAACUGUGGGCUGCGUUAUGGUUAUCACUCGCCGAUACAAUUCUGUAAAUCUUCCUUCUAAAAUGAAUUUCUCUUUUACAUUAAUGCAUGAAAUUAAGCAAUUACAUAUCCCAUUCUUCAGUUCAUGGUAACUCAUAUUGUGUGUGGCUCUGGGACACACUUACUGUACAAUGUCCUGAAUCAGCUAUAGAGCAGUUAUUCUGAGAAAGCAGAGGAUGUGGAAGCAUUCAGCGUGUUCAGUCACAGCGUUCGGGCAGCUUAACUGCCCUUAAACAUGCAAAAAUGGGCUCCACAAUUAGAAAACAAUAAAAGCAGACUUCAAUCUAACAUAUCAGACCCGUGCUUGGCCUCUAGCUGCAUAAUUUGUAGGUGCAGAUAAACCGGUCUAAUUUGAUUAAGUAAUUUAAUCAGAAUAGCCUUGAUAUCAUAAUCAGCUCAACACAAAACAUGUACAUGAGAACAUUGAGAGUGCCGCCACGCCCUCUUUUUUCAGAGGAUGUGAAAAUAACACAAGAUGACAGACAAAGCAAUUUCAGUUCACAGCUGCAGAUUAUUCAGUUUUAUGUCUCUGGGGAAAUUGAGUUAAAAAAAAAUGCAAAGAACACAGGAAGUGUAACGAUAACCCAACAGCAGUGUUUUUUUCUUUUCUUUUCUGCUUAGGUAACUCAUUUUCUCGAGGACUUGGACAGAAUGGGUCAUCAAAGCCAUGUCUCAAGUAGGUUUCAAGGCAAUAAGGCAAUACAGACAGCCAUGGAGACACGAGGAAAACCUGAAGGUUGAGAAUGCACUCAACAUGGGAAAGGAUGACAAUCUUUAUACUAUCACAUAUUUCCAAAAGCACAACAAACAGAUCUCGCAGCACGUCAGAGGCUGCUGCACUGUUUCGCCAGCUGAGCGGGCUCCGGCGCGGCCUUUGUGGGGACAGAUCAAUGCGAGCCCGCGUGCCGCAUAAUGCAGACGGACAACUCAGAGGACUCACCUGCUAAUCCGAGAGGUUUUCACCAUCUUAGAGCAGCUCCUCAGACAAAUAAAGACUACUCCUGUGCCACUUAAAAACACACAGCAAAGACCAAAUAUAGCAUUUGGGUUACCAUCUUUGUCAUCUCUGUUGGGAGUAGGCGAUUUAGGUAAUGCAUAGAUCGGUCUAUUUCAGCUGAUGCAAGGGCAACAGAGAAGACUGGCUCCUUCUCACAGACUGCUGUGAAGGACAGAAAAGAGGCAUCUGGUGAAUGUGGUUUUUCCCCCCCCCACUCUUGUCAGUGUUGUUUUCAUGCGUUCUGCAAUGGGGGAUUGUUUCCGUGUCAA